GGUAGUGUGGCUUAGCAGAAAAGCACUUGCCUAGCAAGUGCAAAGUCCUAGGUUUGAUCCCUAGCACUGCAA
rnacentral:tRNA from 1 species